UUGAACUGCUUUUGAAACUGUAUAUCUAGAAUGUGGGAGAGGUAGAUGGAAUUUCUGGUGUAGGGGUAAAAUCCGUAGAGAUCAGAAGGAAUACCGAUUGCGAAGGCGAUCUACUGGAACAUUAUUGACGCUGAGACGCGAAAGCGUGGGGAGCAAACAGGAUUAGAUACCCUGGAUUGUCCACGCCUCUAAACGAUGCACACUAGUUGUUGUGAGGCUCGACCUUGCAGUAAUGCAGUUAACACAUUAAGUGUGCCGCCUGGGGAGUACGGUCGCAGAGAUUAGAACUCAAAGGAAUAGACGGGGACCCGCACAAGCGGUGGAGCAUGUGGUUUAAUUCUACGAUACACGAAGAACCUUACCUGGACUUGACAUAGUAAGCACUUUCUAGAGAUAGAUUGGUGUCUGCUUGCAGAAACUCAUAUACAGGUGCUGCACGGCUGUCGUCAGCUCGUGUUGUGAGAUGUUGGGUUAAGUCCCGCAACGAGCGCAACCCUCGUCAUUAGUUGCUAACAGUUCGGCUGAGAACUCUAAUGAGACUGCCUACGCAAGUAGGAGGAAGGUGAGGACGACGUCAAGUCAUCAUGGCCCUUACGUCCAGGGCUACACACGUGCUACAAUGGGGUAUACAAAGAGCAGCAAUACGGUGACGUGGAGCAAAUCUCAAAAAUAUCUCCCAGUUC
rnacentral:rRNA from 1 species